AAAGGUGUCUAUAACCGGGGGGAUCCACCUCUUUCCAUUCCGAACAGAGAAGUUAAGCCCCUGAGUGCCGAUGGUACUGCCUUAUAGUGGGAGAGUAGGUUGGCGCCGAAU
rnacentral:rRNA from 1 species